AGUUAACGUUCGGGAUUACCUCCUCCCAGGUCCCGAACGUUCAAAGGCCGGCACUCCUCCUCCCAGUCGGCCUUUACAAAUAGCACCCACCGCACCUCCUCCCGCGGUGGGUGUUGUUU
rnacentral:sRNA from 1 species